GUUCUUUAAACCUAAAGAAUUUGGCGGUGUUUUAAUUCUAUUCAGAGGAACUUGUCCCGUUAUCGAUAGUCCUCGUUUUAUCUUUCUUGAUUUUGUUUAUAUUCAGUAUGUAUACCGCCGUUAUAAGCUUAUUUUUUGAGAAUUUAAUUUGCUAUUAUUUUUAUUAAAAUUUAUUUCAGGUCAAGGUGCAGCUUAUAAUUAAGUGGAGAUGAGUUACAAUAUUUUUGAAUAAAUGGAUUAUUUUUUUAAAAUUUUUAUGAAGGUGGAUUUGAUAGUAAUUUUAUUAAUAAUAUUAUUUUGAUUCUGGCUCUAAAACAAGUACACAUCGCCCGUCGCUCU
rnacentral:rRNA from 1 species